CCAGUCGAACCGCCUCAUCGCCCAGCUCCCUCGCGCCGACCAAUCGUUCGCCUCCAGCCGAGCCUUCACACCGCGCGCCGCCGUCUCCUUUAGCCAAGUCCUCGACAGCAGAUCGCGUCGUCCCUCUCCUGCGCGUCUGCGAGUCGCCGCCAAUAGACUGGGCAUUUUGUUCGUGGGUCGCCGCGCUGUUCGCGAGUUUUCAGCCGCUCGUCCGCCCAGAUCUGAAGCCCGACCGUUUGCGAGCCCGUCCGACGCCGUCCAAAGCCACCACGUCAGUUUCUUCUUCACGUCCUCUGUUCAGUCACCGCAUAAGCGCCGUCCACUUUUGCCAUCAUUGGAUUAUCGAUUUGGAUGUUGAUCACCAAAGUUGGAGUUUGUUUCAUCGAAUUUUGUGAAUUUCGUGUCUGAAGCUCAAGUGUAGUUCGACUUGAGCAAACACUUCAGGAUUUGAUUCAAGAUUCGUAUUAGGCAAGGAAGAGGAUAAAUUUGUUUAGAUUGAGCCCAAAUUUUGAGAUAAGAGUAGGGAUGCGUCGACGAAUGACAAGCGGAGUUCGUGAUCAAGCCACUAGGACUAGAUUUAUGCUUCCACUUAUGAGAUUUAAACUUCUUUUCAUGUUUUUCUUAGCUUUCAGUGUUGAUGUUUAAAACUUACUAUUAAGAAUCGCUUACAGAUUUAUUUAUUAUCAUUUAUGAUUUAUGGGUA